rnacentral:rRNA from 1 species
AGCCUGCCCAGUGACAAAGUUCAACGGCCGCGGUACCCUAACCGUGCGAAGGUAGCAUAAUCACUUGUUCUUUAAAUGAGGACUCGUAUCAACGGCACUACGAGGGCUAUACUGUCUCCUUUUUCUAAUCAGUGAAACUGAUCUCCCCGUGAAGAAGCGGGGAUCAAAAUAUAAGACGAGAAGACCCCAUGGAGCUUUAAACUCACUAUACACCUCUGUGCCUUUAUGUCACUAGACACAAGAGAUCUGCGUACUAGUUUUAGGUUGGGGGGACCACGGAGUAUAAUUUAACCUCCAUAACAAAUGGGCUAACACCCUUAUCUACGAGACACAGCUCUAAGAAUUACUAAACUAAUGCUUAUGACCCGAUAUUCGAUCAAUGAACCAAGUUACCCUGGGGAUAACAGCGCAAUCUACUUCAAGAGCCCAUAUCGACAAGUGGGUUUACGACCUCGAUGUUGGAUCAGGGUAUCCCGGUGGUGCAGCCGCUACCGACGGUUCGUUUGUUCAACGAUUAAAACCCUACGUGAUCU